UACGUAGGGUCCGUGCGUUAAUCGGAAUUACUGGGCGUAAAGCGUGCGCAGGCGGUUAUAUAAGACAGAUGUGAAAUCCCCGGGCUCAACCUGGGACCUGCAUUUGUGACUGUAUAGCUAGAGUACGGUAGAGGGGGAUGGAAUUCCGCGUGUAGCAGUGAAAUGCGUAGAUAUGCGGAGGAACACCGAUGGCGAAGGCAAUCCCCUGGACCUGUACUGACGCUCAUGCACGGAAGCGUGGGGAGCAAACAGGAUUAGAUACCCGGGUAGUCC
rnacentral:rRNA from 1 species